UCGCUACUACCGAUUGAAUGGCUUAGUGAGGCUUUCGGAUUGAUUCUAGGAAGUGGGCAACUACUACCAGGAGUCGAAAAGUUAGUCAAACUUGGUCAUUUAGAGGAAGUAA
rnacentral:rRNA from 1 species